rnacentral:piRNA from 1 species
UUCCCCAAAGGGUCUUACUACCAGGCAA